rnacentral:rRNA from 1 species
GAUGAACGCUGGCGGCGUGCUUAACACAUGCAAGUCGAACGAAGCACUUUAUUUGAUUUCCUUCGGGACUGAUUAUUUUGUGACUGAGUGGCGGACGGGUGAGUAACGCGUGGGUAACCUGCCUUGUACAGGGGGAUAACAGUUGGAAACGGCUGCUAAUACCGCAUAAGCGCACAGCAUCGCAUGAUGCAGUGUGAAAAACUCCGGUGGUAUAAGAUGGACCCGCGUUGGAUUAGCUAGUUGGUGAGGUAACGGCCCACCAAGGCGACGAUCCAUAGCCGACCUGAGAGGGUGACCGGCCACAUUGGGAGUGAGACACGGCGCAAACUCCUACGGGAGGCAGCAGUGGGGAAUAUUGCACAAUGGGCGAAAGCCUGAUGCAGCGACGCCUCGUGAGCGAAGAAGUAUUUCGGUAUGUAAAGCUCUAUCAGCAGGGAAGAUAAUGACGGUACCUGACGAAGAAGCACCGGCUAAAUACGUG